CAGCAGCCACGGUAAUACGUAGGUGGCAAGCGUUGUCCGGAAUUAUUGGGCGUAAAGCGCGCGCAGGUGGUUUAAUAAGUCUGAUGUGAAAGCCCACGGCUCAACCGUGGAGGGUCAUUGGAAACUGUUAAGCUUGAGUGCAGGAGAGAAAAGUGGAAUUCCUAGUGUAGCGGUGAAAUGCGUAGAGAUUAGGAGGAACACCAGUGGCGAAGGCGGCUUUUUGGCCUGUAACUGACACUGAGGCGCGAAAGCGUGGGGAGCAAACAGGAUUAGAUACCCCCGUAGUCCCUGUCUCUUAUAA
rnacentral:rRNA from 1 species